ACAUAUGCGUUACGACAUAUAAAUACACUUAUAUAUAUCAAAACGAUUAAAAUUUAAAUAAAGACAAAUAGGUUGCGCGUAGAGGACCUUACAAAGAGGUUUUAUUUUUAAUAUUUGCUCCCAUCAGAAAACCGGAAACACGUGAAAAUGGGUGACAUAAAGGAGAGUGUUACAGACCCGGUUGGGCGCCGAAUCUUGGCUCAGUUCAAGAGUGAGACUGGUGAAAUUACUGGCAGCGCAUUCGAUUUACCAGUUGAUAUAACAGUUGAUAAGCUACAGCUUGUCUGCAAUGCUAUUUUACAAAAGG